UAGUAAGCGGAGAAAGAACUAACAGGAUUCCCCUAGUAAUGGCGAAUGAAGCGGGAAGAGCUCAAAUUUAAAAUCUGCGUUGCGUGCGACGCCGAAUUGUAGUUUUCGAGAAGCGCUUUCUAGGCGAGUCCGGGGCCGUCCAAGUUGCUUGGAACAGCACGUCAUAGAGGGUGACAACCCCGUCUGUGGCCCGGAACCGGUCGCCGACGAUGCGCUUUCGACAAGUCGGGUUGCUUGAGAAUGCAGCCCAAAACGGGUGGUAAACUCCAUCUAAAGCUAAAUACUGGCACGAGACCGAUAGCGAACAAGUACCGUGAGGGAAAGUAA
rnacentral:rRNA from 1 species